rnacentral:rRNA from 1 species
GUAGGUGGCAAGCGUUGUCCGGAAUUAUUGGGCGUAAAGCGCGCGCAGGCGGUUUUUUAAGUCUGAUGUGAAAGCCCACGGCUCAACCGUGGAGGGUCAUUGGAAACUGGAGAACUUGAGUACAGAAGAGGAAAGCGGAAUUCCACGUGUAGCGGUGAAAUGCGUAGAGAUGUGGAGGAACACCAGUGGCGAAGGCGGCUUUCUGGUCUGUAACUGACGCUGAGGCGCGAAAGCGUGGGGGGCAAACAGGGAUUAGAUACCCUGGUAGUCCACGCCGUAAACGAUGAGUGCUAAGUGUUAGGGGGGUUUUCCGCCCCCUUAGUGCUGCAGCUAACGCAUUAAGCACUCCGCCUGGGGAGUACGGCCGCAAGGCUG